rnacentral:rRNA from 1 species
UACGUAGGUGGCAAGCGUUGUCCGGAUUUACUGGGCGUAAAGGAUGCGUAGGCGGACAUUUAAGUCAGAUGUGAAAUACCCGAGCUUAACUUGGGUGCUGCAUUUGAAACUGGGUGUCUAGAGUGCAGGAGAGGUAAGUGGAAUUCCUAGUGUAGCGGUGAAAUGCGUAGAGAUUAGGAAGAACACCAGUGGCGAAGCGACUUACUGGACUGUAACUGACGCUGAGGCAUGAAAGCGUGGGGAGCAAACAGG